rnacentral:misc_RNA from 1 species
UUUUCUUUUUUUUUUUUUAAAUUAGACUUCAUUUGUUUUGUAGAAAAUAUUCGCACUUUUUAGUGUUUGAGGUGCUCAGGAAAUUGGUUAACGGAGAAUAUUUGUCUGGUUAAAAAGAAAACUAAGUCAUUCCUCUGUUUAAAAGAGAAAGUCAUUUUUUGGACUUUAACAAUCUUAUUAAAAAGUGAAAACACUUAUACAUGCAUGACAUAAACCCAUAUCAUUAGUUUAACAUUGCAACCAA